rnacentral:misc_RNA from 1 species
GAGCGGGCCAAGCUCGUCCGACUUAUUUGGGGAUCGGAAUCGAGUAUGCUGCAUAAUCCUACCACUUUCUGUGGAAAGGUAGAGGCAACAUUCGUUCAACGAUGUUCUCAAAGUCGGAGAGCAUUCUUAGGGUCUUGCUCGUCCGACUUAUUUGGGGAUCGGAAUCGAGUAUACUGCGUAAUCCUACCACUUGCUGUGGAAAGGUAGAGGCAACAUUCGUUCAACGAUGUUCUCAAAGUCGGAGAGCGUUCUUAGGGUCAGGCCCCGAGGCAACCAAAUGGGCCACGAGGCUAUAUAUCAUGAGCGACAUCCAAAACCAAUAGCGAAAGCGAGGCUGCCUUGAUAGCACCGGACACGAGAACCAACACCACGAGGCAACGCCGCAAUCGCCAUAUGGCCGCAGCAGCACACCCAAAGGCGUCCACCACGAGGCAACUAUGUAUGAAGCACCAAUACCCAUAGGUCAGGUAACAUCACGCAAGCACUUGAAAGGCAAAGUAAGAUAGCUCACACAAAUGGCAAGACACGGCGCCCAUAGUCGGCCGCACAAA